UACGGAGGAUGCGAGCGUUAUCCGGAUUAAUUGGGUUUAAAGGGAGCGUAGGCGGACGCUUAAGUCAGUUGUGAAAGUUUGCGGCUCAACCGUAAAAUUGCAGUUGAUACUGGGUGUCUUGAGUACAGUAGAGGCAGGCGGAAUUCGUGGUGUAGCGGUGAAAUGCUUAGAUAUCACGAAGAACUCCGAUUGCGAAGGCAGCUUGCUGGAGCGUAACUGACGUUGAUGCUCGAAAGUGUGGGUAUCAAACAGG
rnacentral:rRNA from 1 species